UACGAAGGGUGCAAGCGUUACUCGGAAUUAUUGGGCGUAAAGCGCACGUAGGCGGACCAUCAAGUCGGAUGUGAAAUCCCUCGGCUCAACCGUGGAAGUGCAUUCGAAACUGCAGGGCUAGAGUCCUGGAGAGGAAGGUGGAAUGCUUGGUGUAGAGGUGAAAUUCGUAGAUAUCAAGCGGAACACCGGUGGCGAAGGCGGCCUUCUGGACAGUGACUGACGCUGAGACGCGAAAGCGUGGGGAGCAAACAGG
rnacentral:rRNA from 1 species